UUUGUAGUUUGUGUCAAGCCACCAAUGGUCUCCUGUUUUGCUGCUUUUCCUCUGUCUUCUUUCCCAUUGAUUAAUUGCUUGUCUUCAUCUGUCACUGAGAUAGGUUCAGGACAGUUUAAUGUCAGUUCACGCUGCACUUGACUGAACGCCUUUCCUCUGGAGUCCUUGCCUCCUGCUCCCUCUUGUAUUGUUGUUGACUUCAUCUUCCUGUCCUUUUCAGUCACGCAGCAUGCUUGGCGUAGUUUUUGAUGGUUCCCUUUCUUUCUCAUAGGUUAGUCUCAGGUUUCCCUUUCUUUUAUAACCUCUUUAGAGUUUUGUUUGUUUGUUUGGGGGUUUUGUUUUUUGAUGUGGCUGUUUUGAUUUUUAAUUCAUCAGAGAUGGGUUUUUUUGUAUGCUUAUGGUGUAGGCGUGGUGCUGGCUGGCAGAUCUGAAUGGCAAGUGACAGACUUAACACCAUGAGUAAAACAGAGAUGCAGAGAAUUCUGGUUAAGUUCAGUGAAUUUCAAGAAGAAAAUAUUUUUCCUUUUUAAUUUUAAUGGCAGUCUUAGCUGGAGAAAAUAUCUCUGAGAGGCAUGAUGUAGAGCAGAGUGAGCAAACUUCUUCUAUAAAGGGUGAGAUAUUAAAUAUUUAAGGGUUUAUAGGCCAUAAGGUCUCUGUCUCAAACAUUUAACUUUGUCUUUGUAGCCUUAGACAAUAUGUAAACAAAGGAAUGUGACCAUAUACCCAUAAAAUGUUAUUUACAGAAGCAGGUGAUGUUUGGGCUGGAUUUGGCCCCAGGGUUAUGAUAAAGAGUAUACACUUAGGGUGAAGUGGUAAUCCAUAUUGAUUCAUGUUUGGAAUAACUUUGUUUAUUUUUUAAUUUUGGAGGCUAUCUUCUUAGGUCUGGUUAAUUUUUAAAAACACUCUGGUUAAAGAAGGCCUGUGAGAGGAAUAGAGGAAGUGUUAUCUCUGCCAUUCUUUGGUUCACUUAUGGUUGCGUUAUUGGCAUUAUCUUUAUUGCAUAGUUUUUUUUUAAGGUAUCUUUUAAAGCCACUUACUCAUUUUUGUAUGCUUCAGUAGUUAAAAAUGUAUAUAGUUGUACCGCAUGAAUGUANNNNNNNNNNNNNNNCUGUACACUCAGAAUGGUUUAAAUGGUAAAUUGUAUGUUAUGUAUAUUUUACAACAGUUUAAACAUUUUGAUGUAAAUCCACUUGUUGUUAUGGAACA
rnacentral:lncRNA from 1 species